rnacentral:lncRNA from 1 species
AAGUCAUCCUGUCCAUUUACAACUACAAAAAAAGGGCUGGGGAAUCUUAGUUCAGUUGGUAGAGUGCUUGCCUUGUAUGCACAAGGCCCUGAGGUUAAUCCCCAGCACCACACACACACACACACACACCCCAAACACAACUACAAAAAAUAAAAAUUUUAAAAAAAAGUGUCAGAGAUGUGGUUCAGUGGUUAAGCACCCCUGGGUUCAGUUCCAGGCACUAAAAUGAAAAACAAAACACAAUCAGAAAAACCCAAGUAUAAUCAGAACCUUUCCCAGCUGUGACCUAGCCCUGCUGCUGGUAGUGUGGACCUUAUCCAGGUAGCAGGACUUUAUCCUUUUUCUGUAUAGGUCUGUAGGGGCUCAACAAACCCUUUUAUUUAAGAACAGGCUGGGGAUAUAGCUCAGUUGGUAGAGUGCUUGCCUUGCAUUUAU